rnacentral:rRNA from 1 species
UACGUAGGGGGCAAGCGUUGUCCGGAUUUAUUGGGCGUAAAGAGCGUGUAGGCGGCCAUACAGGUCAGCUGUGAAAACUCGAGGCUCAACCUCGAGACGUCGGUUGAAACCGUAUGGCUAGAGUCCAGAAGAGGAGAGUGGAAUUCCCGGUGUAGCGGUGAAAUGCGCAGAUAUCGGGAAGAACACCCGUGGCGAAGGCGGCUCUCUGGGACGGUACUGACGCUGAGACGCGAAAGCGUGGGGAGCGAACAGG